GGCGCUUCUUCCGAGAUCG
rnacentral:misc_RNA from 1 species